GGACUACCCGGGUAUCUAAUCCCGUUUGCUCCCCUAGCUUUCGCGCAUCAGCGUCAGAAGAGGUCCAGCAGCUCGCUUUCGCCACCGGCGUUCCUUCCGAUAUCAACGCAUUUCACCGCUCCACCGGAAGUUCCAGCUGCCCCUACCUCCCUCCAGCCAAUCAGUAUCCAAGGCACUUUUCCGGUUAAGCCGAAAGAUUUCACCCCAGACUUGAUUGACCGCCUACGCGCCCUUUAAGCCCAGUGAUUCCGAACAACGUUCGCACGGUUCGUCUUACCGCGGCUGCUGGCAC
rnacentral:rRNA from 3 species